rnacentral:rRNA from 1 species
GACGAACGCUGGCGGCGUGCCUAAUACAUGCAAGUUGAGCGCUGAAGGUUGGUACUUGUACCAACUGGAUGAGCAGCGAACGGGUGAGUAACGCGUGGGGAAUCUGCCUUUGAGCGGGGGACAACAUUUGGAAACGAAUGCUAAUACCGCAUAAAAACUUUAAACACAAGUUUUAAGUGUGAAAGAUGCAAUUGCAUCACUCAAAGAUGAUCCCGCGUUGUAUUAGCUAGUUGGUGAGGUAAAGGCUCACCAAGGCGAUGAUACAUAGCCGACCUGAGAGGGUGAUCGGCCACAUUGGGACUGAGACACGGCCCAAACUCCUACGGGAGGCAGCAGUAGGGAAUCUUCGGCAAUGGACGAAAGUCUGACCGAGCAACGCCGCGUGAGUGAAGAAGGUUUUCGGAUCGUAAAACUCUGUUGGUAGAGAAGAACGUUGGUGAGAGUGGAAAGCUCAUCAAGUGACGGUAACGACCCAGAAAGGGACGGCUAACUACGU